AGUCGGGGUGGGGGAGGGUCACCCAAGCCAGGCGUAAACCACCACCCCGCUGUCCAUCAAAUAAUUUUCACAAGCCUGCGCAAACCAGAAGAAACUCACCUUGGCCCCGCGGUUGAAAAGCGACACUAUUAAUCAGCGCAAGUCAGGCCUUGUCUGGAGUCCAUACUGUCUUGGUACAUACCUCGCCUCAGCAACACAGCUCCGACUAAUUCCAGGCCUGCUGCGAUUAACCCUCGCGGCACAGACGCUUCCUUUAAACAACAGCGUGAACGAAAAUAUUAACUGAAACUCCGGAUGGGCAUGCACGGCUUACCUUCGAGUUUCAGCGAACAGGCAAUUUGCACCGGAGACCAUUAGGUGGCAACCCGGGCAACGCCGCCACCUGCCGCUCCUCAGAGUCUUCAGAGAGAGGCGCGGCGGGGAGAAGCCGGAAGUGGCCUCACUUCCCGCUGGGCGACCUCUCGCGAGACGUCCCGCGUGGCUCUGGAGCCCACCCGCGCCGCGCAACGGUUCUUCCUGACUCGCUUGCUGGGCGGGCAGCUGCUGGGGGUCGUGCGGUGGUUGUUUCUGGGGCUGGAAUGAGGGAAGGGUUUUCGGUUCACACCUGGGAUGGCCCCAAAUGUUGCAGGUUGACAAAGCAGCCAUUGAAUGCAGCGGUCUUCGUGGAGACCGCCUUAGGCUGGCAAAGAUUCUGGAAGCAAGACUAGAGGGUGUCUAAGCAUUAGAGCAGGAGGGCAGAACCACGCAGUAAAGGGUGCGGUGCACAGCUUUGGCCCCCUGGAGUCUGUUGGCUUGCAGCUCCGGUAUUUCCCCCGGAGUGAGUUCAAAACUGGCCCCUCUGUACGAGAGGGCAAGGAGACACUGAAGGGGUAGACCGUUCCAGAUUGAUUUUAUUUGAGAGAGAGAGAGAAAGCAGGAGAGAGAGGGAGAGAAGACCUUGAAACAAACUCUGGACUGAACACGGGGCCCAACUUGGGGCUCAAUCCCAUCACUGUGAGAUUCUGACCUGAGCUGAAACCAAGAGGAAGAAGAUGGCAAUGAAUAUAAAGAGUUGGACAGCAAGAAAGAGGAAAGAGAAUUAGAAGCAAUACAAAGUUUUCAUGCUUGAGUGACUCAGAAGAUGGCAGUGGAAAUAUGAGAGAUGUUGGAAUAUUUUUCUGCUACAAAAGAAGCAUGGAUGCAACAUUUUUUCUUUUUGAAUAAUUAUUUAUUUAUUCAUAAGGGACACAGAGAGAGAGGCAGAGACACAGGCAGAGGGA